AUUGAACGCUGGCGGCAUGCUUUACACAUGCAAGUCGAACGGCAGCGCGGGCUUCGGCCUGGCGGCGAGUGGCGAACGGGUGAGUAAUGCAUCGGAACGUGCCCAGUAGUGGGGGAUAGCCCGGCGAAAGCCGGAUUAAUACCGCAUACGACCUGAGGGUGAAAGCGGGGGACCGAAAGGCCUCGCGCUAUUGGAGCGGCCGAUGUCGGAUUAGCUAGUUGGUGGGGUAAAGGCUUACCAAGGCGACGAUCCGUAGCUGGUCUGAGAGGACGACCAGCCACACUGGGACUGAGACACGGCCCAGACUCCUACGGGAGGCAGCAGUGGGGAAUUUUGGACAAUGGGGGCAACCCUGAUCCAGCCAUGCCGCGUGCGGGAAGAAGGCCUUCGGGUUGUAAACCGCUUUUGUUCGGGAAGAAAUCCUCUGGGCUAAUACCCCGGGGGGAUGACGGUACCGGAAGAAUAAGCACCGGCUAAUUACGUG
rnacentral:rRNA from 1 species